rnacentral:tRNA from 1 species
GCUCCCGUCGUUCAAUGGAUAGGAUGUCUCCCUCCGAAGGAGACGAUGCAGGUUCGAUUCCUGCCGAGGGCA